rnacentral:rRNA from 1 species
GACGAACCGUGCGAACGUUAUUCGGAAUCACUGGGCUUAAAGCGCGUGUAGGCGGGCCGGCACGUCGGUGCCUGAAAGCCCCCGGCUCAACCGGGGAAGCGGGGCCGAUACGGCCGGCCUGGAGGGGCGUAGGGGGACCUGGAACUUCCGGUGGAGCGGUGAAAUGCGUUGAGAUCGGAAGGAACGCCCGUGGCGAAAGCGAGGUCCUGGACGCCUGCUGACGCUGAGACGCGAAAGCCAGGGUAGCGAACGGGAUUAGAUACCCCGGUAGUCCUGGCCGUAAACGAUGGGCACUGGGUAGGGGGCUCGCCGAUGGGCUCCCUGCCGCAGCGAAAGCGUGAAGUGCCCCGCCUGGGGAGUAUGGUCGCAAGGCUGAA